rnacentral:rRNA from 1 species
CCCUUAGAUGUUCUGGGCUGCACGCGUGCUACAAUGGCGUUUCCAGCAAGUCUGCGAACCCGAGAGGGCCAGCGGAUCUUCGAAUUGGCGUCGUGAUCGGGACAGUCGAUUGCAAUUAUUUGACUCAAACGAGGAAUUCCUUGUAAUCGCGAUUCAUCAUAUCGCGCUGAAUACGUCCCUGCCCUUUGUACACACCGCCCGUCGCUCCUACCGAUUGAGCGAUCCGGUAAAUGUUUUGGAUUGGGGCCGGGGCGGCUAGCUGCCGGUCGCUACGAAAUUUUGUGAACCUUAUCGCUUAGAGGAAGGAAAAGUCGUAACA